rnacentral:rRNA from 1 species
UACGUAGGGGGCUAGCGUUGCUCGGAAUCACUGGGCGUAAAGCGCACGUAGGCGGAUCUUUAAGUCAGGGGUGAAAUCCCGGAGCUCAACUCCGGAACUGCCUUUGAUACUGGGGAUCUUGAGUUCGAGAGAGGUGAGUGGAACUGCGAGUGUAGAGGUGAAAUGCGUAGAUAUUGGGAGGAACACCAGUGGCGAAGGCGACUGACUGGACCGGUACUGACGCUGAGGCGCGAAAGCCAGGGGAGCAAACGGG